UUGGGAGCCUCGUAAGUGGGGGAGCCGUUACUAUGGGGACCUGGACAGGGGUGUUAGUGAGGGGUGGGGAUCUCCAUAUAAGGCUCAGGAGAGUCUAGGGGCAUCACCCUGCGGGGUCCCUGGCCCCCAUUCAGAGCCCACCUGGUGGCCAGCAGUUUGGAGAGGACCCGAUUGGUCUUGACAAAGCCGAGGAACGUUCGCUGACAGAAGAGAUGAGGAAAUGAGGCUGAGGACUGAACUCACCGGCCCAGGGUAACGCAAGGCGAGCUGAGUUUCAAACCCAAGUCUGUCUAAUGUGACCGUGAAGCAUCUCGACGCCCACCCCCACCUCCACCCUGGGGCGGCUCUGCCCUCCCGGGCUUCACAUCGUGAUCUCAUCAGCUCUCCUAAACCCUGUGAGUUAGGAUUCCUAAACUCAUUUUGCAGAUGAGGAAGCUGCGGGUCAGAGAGGGGAUGUGAAUUGCCUACGUUCUUCCAGCUGGUCCUGCCAGUCAGCUAUUGCAGGAUGGGGGGAACCUAGGAGAGAAGCUCAGGCCACCCAGAUGCAUCCCUGCAGCUCCCCUGUGCGGCUGGCCUGGAGCUGAAAGCAGAGCUGAGAGGCCUGGAAGAGAUGUGCCCCUCCGUGAGCCCCUCCCUGGGGAGCCAUGGUGCCGGCCCAGAGGAGCCCUCAGAAAGGGAGCAGAGCCAACAGUGACCCGAGUCAAGCAAGAUCUGUCCUUCUGGGGCUUCCCUGGUGGCGCAGUGGUUAAGAAUCCGCCUGCCAAUGCAAGGGACACGGGUUCGAGCCCUGAUCCGGGAAGAUCCCACAUGCCGCGGAGCAACUAAGCCCAUGCGCCACAACUACUGAGCCCACGUGCCACAACUACUGAAGCCUGCGUGCCUAGAGCCCGUGCUCCGCAACAAGAGAAGCCACGACAAUGAGAAGCCCGAGCACCGCAACGAAGAGUAGCCCCCGCUCACUGCAACUAGAGAAAGCCCGCACGCAGCAACGAAG